AACGAACGCUGGCGGCAUGCCUAACACAUGCAAGUCGAACGAUGCCUUCGGGCAUAGUGGCGCACGGGUGCGUAACGCGUGGGAAUCUGCCCUUGGGUUCGGAAUAACUCAGAGAAAUUUGAGCUAAUACCGGAUGAUGACGUAAGUCCAAAGAUUUAUCGCCCAAGGAUGAGCCCGCGUAAGAUUAGCUAGUUGGUGGGGUAAAGGCCGUACCAAGGCGACGAUCUUUAGCUGGUCUGAGAGGAUGAUCAGCCACACUGGGACUGAGACACGGCCCAGACUCCUACGGGAGGCAGCAGUGGGGAAUAUUGGACAAUGGGCGAAAGCCUGAUCCAGCAAUGCCGCGUGAGUGAUGAAGGCCUUAGGGUUGUAAAGCUCUUUUACCUAGGGAUGAUAAUAGACAGUACCUGGAGAAUAAGACUCCGGCUAACUCCGUGCCAGCAGCCGCGG
rnacentral:rRNA from 1 species